UAUCACAAGAGGCACUUCACACCGGUCGGGCUGUUAAUCACACAAAAACAGCCCACCAUUCAUCUUAUGCCACGUAGGAAAAAAUACUGGAAGGCAAAUGCACAGAGUUACAAAGAAUCACAACAUACAGGCCCUCAUUCCGUCUGCCCUUCUCCCCUUCGCACAUAGACCUUCUCCCAUUCAUCUCAGCCCGACGCCGACGGAUGCAAGCAUCUCAACCUAAUGCCGAUGCAAGCAUCUCAGCCCAACGCCAACUCAACCAUCUCAGUUCGAAACCGACGCCGACGUAAAUCGGAGAUCGCACCAUUCUCUCUUCCUCAAUGCUCUUUUGCUCUUCUGAAUCGUAUGCACUACCCCUCUCUUCCUCGCUGUCGUUGUUCGCACCGCCACAAUAUCAGUCCAAUGCCGACGCAGCUUAGAAAUUCCAACGCCGACACAAUUGGUUGCCCAGAAGGAGUUAUCAUGGCUGAGUAUAGAGUCACUACAUUAUCUUGGAGAAAACAUGAGGGCAGAGCUUCGUGGAGAAAUCAUGAGGGCUUCGAAAUCACAAAGGGCUUUGUGCGGCUUCAGCUUGGAGAAAUCGUGAGGGUGAAAUCGCAAAGGGUGAAAUCGUGGGGCGGAGGGUAGGUGAUUUGAUUUCUAAAUCACCUACGUCGGUGCCAAUGUAAGAAAUCGUGAUGGCUGAAAGGAAAUCGUGGGGCUUCAGCUUGGAGAAAUCAAAUUUUGGGGGUAAAAUGGCAAAGGGGGAAAUGGUGAAGGGUUUCUAAUUUUUGGAGAUGUUAAGCUGUUCAGAUGUAAUGCUGGUCCAUAAUUGUUUCGAUAGAAGUCUUACGUGUUAGAAUGUUAUUGGCCAGCUGUUAUUUGAGUAAAACUAGCCCGACCGGUCCCAAGGAUUUCUCAUCACAA